rnacentral:rRNA from 1 species
AUGGCAAUUGUGCAUACAUACGGGAAGCCUAACAUCUUCUUGACCAUGACUUGCAAUCCUAAAUGGGAAGAGAUAUCGAAUGAGUUGCUGCCUGGUCAGACGGCGCAAGACCGACCUGAUAUUGUGGCUCGCGUGUUCCGGCAAAUAGAGGCUAUGAAAGACAUUUUGUUCAAGAAGCAUAUUCUAGGUGUUGUUGUUGCUUAUGUUUACGUAGUCGAGUUCCAAAAAAGGGGCCUU